AGAGGAUCGUUUGAGCCCAGGAGUUUGAGGCUGCAGUGAGCUAUGAUCGCACCACUGCACUCCAGCCUUGGGGGACAGAG
rnacentral:snRNA from 1 species